rnacentral:scRNA from 1 species
CUGGUCGGAGACGGACACCGGGCAGUCAAGAG